UUUUCAUCAGACAAUCUGUGUGAGCACUGCAAAGUACGCUUCUUUAAGGUAAGGAGGUGAUCCAACCGCAGGUUCCCCUACGGUUACCUUGUUACGACUUCACCCCAGUCAUGAAUCACAAAGUGGUAAGCGCCCUCCCGAAGGUUAAGCUACCUACUUCUUUUGCAACCCACUCCCAUGGUGUGACGGGCGGUGUGUACAAGGCCCGGGAACGUAUUCACCGUGGCAUUCUGAUCCACGAUUACUAGCGAUUCCGACUUCAUGGAGUCGAGUUGCAGACUCCAAUCCGGACUACGACGCACUUUAUGAGGUCCGCUUGCUCUCGCGAGGUCGCUUCUCUUUGUAUGCGCCAUUGUAGCACGUGUGUAGCCCUGGUCGUAAGGGCCAUGAUGACUUGACGUCAUCCCCACCUUCCUCCAGUUUAUCACUGGCAGUCUCCUUUGAGUUCCCGGCCGGACCGCUGGCAACAAAGGAUAAGGGUUGCGCUCGUUGCGGGACUUAACCCAACAUUUCACAACACGAGCUGACGACAGCCAUGCAGCACCUGUCUCACGGUUCCCGAAGGCACAUUCUCAUCUCUGAAAACUUCCGUGGAUGUCAAGACCAGGUAAGGUUCUUCGCGUUGCAUCGAAUUAAACCACAUGCUCCACCGCUUGUGCGGGCCCCCGUCAAUUCAUUUGAGUUUUAACCUUGCGGCCGUACUCCCCAGGCGGUCUACUUAACGCGUUAGCUCCGGAAGCCACGCCUCAAGGGCACAACCUCCAAGUAGACAUCGUUUACGGCGUGGACUACCAGGGUAUCUAAUCCUGUUUGCUCCCCACGCUUUCGCACCUGAGCGUCAGUCUUUGUCCAGGGGGCCGCCUUCGCCACCGGUAUUCCUCCAGAUCUCUACGCAUUUCACCGCUACACCUGGAAUUCNNNNNNNNNNNNNNNNNNNNCCCCCCUCUACAAGACUCAAGCCUGCCAGUUUCGAAUGCAGUUCCCAGGUUGAGCCCGGGGAUUUCACAUCCGACUUGACAGACCGCCUGCGUGCGCUUUACGCCCAGUAAUUCCGAUUAACGCUUGCACCCUCCGUAUUACCGCGGCUGCUGGCACGGAGUUAGCCGGUGCUUCUUCUGCGGGUAACGUCAAUUGCUGCGGUUAUUAACCACAACACCUUCCUCCCCGCUGAAAGUACUUUACAACCCGAAGGCCUUCUUCAUACACGCGGCAUGGCUGCAUCAGGCUUGCGCCCAUUGUGCAAUAUUCCCCACUGCUGCCUCCCGUAGGAGUCUGGACCGUGUCUCAGUUCCAGUGUGGCUGGUCAUCCUCUCAGACCAGCUAGGGAUCGUCGCCUUGGUGAGCCGUUACCUCACCAACAAGCUAAUCCCAUCUGGGCACAUCUGAUGGCAAGAGGCCCGAAGGUCCCCCUCUUUGGUCUUGCGACGUUAUGCGGUAUUAGCCACCGUUUCCAGUAGUUAUCCCCCUCCAUCAGGCAGUUUCCCAGACAUUACUCACCCGUCCGCCACUCGUCAGCAAAGCAGCAAGCUGCUUCCUGUUACCGUUCGACUUGCAUGUGUUAGGCCUGCCGCCAGCGUUCAAUCUGAGCCAUGAUCAAACUCUUCAAUUUAAAAGUUUGAUGCUCAAUGAAUUAAACUUCGUAAUGAAUUACGUGUUCACUCUUGAGACUUGGUAUUCAUUUUUCGUCNNNNNNNNNNNNNNNNNNNNGA
rnacentral:rRNA from 1 species